AUACGGAGGGUGCGAGCGUUAAUCGGCAUUACUGGGCGUAAAGCGUACGUAGGCGGUUGGUUAAGUUAGAUGUGAAAGCCCCGGGCUUAACCUGGGAACUGCAUUUAAAACUGGCGAACUAGAGUUGAGUAGAGGGGAGUGGAAUUUCAGGUGUAGCGGUGAAAUGCGUAGAGAUCUGAAGGAACACCAGUGGCGAAGGCGACUCCCUGGACUCGAACUGACGCUGAGGUACGAAAGCGUGGGUAGCAAACGGGAUUAGAAACCCCAGUAGUCC
rnacentral:rRNA from 1 species